AGUGAACGCUGGCGGUAGGCCUAACACAUGCAAGUCGAACGGCAGCACAGUAAGAGCUUGCUCUUACGGGUGGGGAGUGGCGGAAGGGUGAGGAAUACAUCGGAAUCUACUUUUUCGUGGGGGAUAACGUAGGGAAACUUAAGCUAAUACCGCAUACGACCUACGGGUGAAAGCAGGGGAUCUUCGGACCUUGCGCGAUUGAAUGAGCCGAUGUCGGAUUAGCUAGUUGGCGGGGUAAAGGCCCACCAAGGCGACGAUCCGUAGCUGGUCUGAGAGGAUGAUCAGCCACACUGGAACUGAGACACGGUCCAGACUCCUACGGGAGGCAGCAGUGGGGAAUAUUGGACAAUGGGCGCAAGCCUGAUCCAGCCAUACCGCGUGGGUGAAGAAGGCCUUCGGGUUGUAAAGCCCUUUUGUUGGGAAAGAAAAGCAGCAGGUUAAUACCCCGCUGUUCUGACGGUACCCAAAGAAUAAGCACCGGCUAACUUCGUG
rnacentral:rRNA from 1 species